GUAGAGGUGGCGAUAGUGUUCAUGGCUAUAUGGGUGAUGAGGAACUGGUGUUGGUUUCGGUUAUAUGGGUGAGAAUGGUGAUGUUGGUGUUGACGAGAGAAUGGUGGUGUUGGUAAUAUGGGUGGAGUAGACGGUGGUGGUGAUGGUAUUGAGAGAAUGGUGUUGCUGGUGUUGGUUAGGUGGGUGAGGAGAGUGUGUCUGGUCAUGCCGGUGAUGGUGGGGGUGGUGGUGUUGAGAAUGGUGUUGCUAGUAUUGGUUAGGUGGGUGAGGAGAGAGCGUUUGGUGAUGCCGGUGAUGGUGGAGGUCUAGAGAGAGUGGAGUUACGUGUGUUGGUCAGAUAGGUGGUGAUGGUUGAGAAAGUGGAGUUCCUUGUGUCGGUCAUAUAGGUGGUGGUGAUGGUCAGAGAGAGUGGAGUUACCUGUGUUGGUCAGAUAGGUGGUGGUGAUGGUCAGAGAGAGUGGAGUUACCUGUGUUGGUCAGAUAGGUGGUGGUGAUGGUCAGAGAGAGUGGAGUUACCUGUGUCGGUCAGAUAGGUGGUGAUGAUGGUCAGAGAGAGUGGAGUUACCUGUGUCGGUCAUAUAGGUGGUGAUGGUGAGCUUGGUCUUGAGUCGGCGUUGAGAGAGGUGUCGUAAGUGUUCCGCCAAGCCCCGCCACCCAGCAGCAGUUGUCGGUAGUGUUGCAGCCUCACAGCCACACACAACACAACACCUGAAUGUCGGUAGCGAUAGCAGAGCAGUGUUCAAACCGUGUACAAAUUGUUAUGCAACUUGUAGAAAUAUCCAUGGUAUUUAGAAUAAAACUCAUUGUGUCAAAUAUACUUGAAAAGUACUACAGCCGUGUUUGUCUACACCCGAAACACACAAAACUGACCCCUACCUAGCUGUCCCUACCCCCUAUGUCGAUGUACGUAGGGGGAAGGGAUGGGAAAAUAUAUAUACCUAUGUUACGAUGUGUUUUAACCCGUCCGAUGCGAUUGUCAGGGAUUUUGCCUUCUCUGGUAGCCUGGUAACAUACACUCCCAGGUCUUUCUCUGCCUCUGUGGUGGAUAAUGGAAUGUUUCCCAUGUGGUAUUGGUGUGCUGGAUAUCCCUUCACUGGUAGCCUGGUAACAUACACUCCCAGGUCUUUCUCUGCCUCUGUGGUGGAUAGUGGAGUGUUUCCCAUGUGGUAUUGGUGUGCUGGAUAUCCCCUCCCAAGGUGCAGGACUUUACAUUUUUCCUCACUGAAUUGUAGCAGCCACUUUUUGUUCCAUU